CCUACGUGUGGCUGCAGUAGGGAAUAUUGCUCAAUGGGGGAAACCCUGAAGCAGCAACGCAGCGUGGAGGAUGAAUGCUUUAGGAUUUUAAACUCCUUUUUAUAGAGAAGUUUAUGACGGCAUCUAACGCAUAAUCACCGUCUAACUCCGUGCCAGCAGCCGCGGUAAUACGGAGGGUGCCAGCGUUACUCGGAAUCACUGGGCGUAAAGAGUGCGUAGUCGGGGUAAUAAGUCAGAUGUGAAAUCCUGUAGCUUAACUACAGAACUGCAUGUGAAACUGUUAAUCUUGAGUGUGGGAGAGGUAGGUGGAAGUCGUGGUGUAGGGGUAAAAUGCGUAGAGAUCAAGAAGAAUACUGAUUGCGAAGGCGACUUGCUAAAAUAUUACUGACGCUGAUGCACGAAAGCGUGGGGAGCAAACAGGAUUAGAUACCCGAGUAGUC
rnacentral:rRNA from 1 species